rnacentral:pre_miRNA from 14 species
AUAUUCCACCUAUAACCCUUGUCGGACCUUUGUGGGUGUUCGCCUUUUCGGUGAAGUUACUGAAUGCUUCUUCACCGGGUUAACAUCUACAGAGGUCCUAAAGGGUUCCAUGACCCAUGACCC